AGAGUUUGAUCCUGGCUCAGAACGUACGCUGGCGGCACGCCUAAUACAUGCAAGUCGAACGAAGUAGCAAUACUUAGUGGCAGACGGGUGAGUAACAUGUAGGUAUCUGCCCUUUGGCCUGGAAUAACACGAGGAAACUUGUGCUAAUACUGGAUAAGUCUUUACGGAGAAAGCUUUAUGCACCAUUGGAUGAGCCUGCACUUGAUUAGUUUGUUGGUGGGGUAAUGGCCUACCAAGACUGUGAUCAAUAGCUGAUUUGAGAGGAUGAUCAGCCACAUUGGGACUGAGACACGGCCCAAACUCCUACGGGAGGCAGCAGUAGGGAAUCUUGCACAAUGGAGGAAACUCUGAUGCAGCGAUGCCGCGUGAGUGAAGAAGGCCUUUGGGUUGUAAAGCUCUUUCGUCGGGGAAGAAAAUGACUGUACCCGAAUAAGAAGGUCCGGCUAACUUCGUGCCAGCAGCCGCGGUAAUACGAAGGGACCUAGCGUAGUUCGGAAUUACUGGGCUUAAAGAGUUCGUAGGUGGUUGAAAAAGUUGGUGGUGAAAUCCCAGAGCUUAACUCUGGAACUGCCAUCAAAACUUUUCAGCUAGAGUAUGAUAGAGGAAAGCAGAAUUUCUAGUGUAGAGGUGAAAUUCGUAGAUAUUAGAAAGAAUACCAAUUGCGAAGGCAGCUUUCUGGAUCAUUACUGACACUGAGGAACGAAAGCAUGGGUAGCGAAGAGGAUUAGAUACCCUCGUAGUCCAUGCCGUAAACGAUGUGUGUUAGACGUUGGAAAUUUAUUUUCAGUGUCGCAGCGAAAGCGAUAAACACACCGCCUGGGGAGUACGACCGCAAGGUUAAAACUCAAAUGAAUUGACGGGGACCCGCACAAGUAGUGGAGCAUGUGGUUUAAUUCGAAGAUACGCGCAGAACCUUACCAACACUUGACAUGUUCGUCGCGACUCUAAGAGAUUAGAGUUUUCGGUUCGGCCGGACGAAACACAGGUGCUGCAUGGCUGUCGUCAGCUCGUGUCGUGAGAUGUUGGGUUAAGUCCCGCAACGAGCGCAACCCUCACUUUUAGUUGCCAUCAUUAAGUUGGGCACUCUGAAAGAACUGCCAGUGAUAAGCUGGAGGAAGGUGGGGAUGACGUCAAGUCCUCAUGGCCCUUACGUGUUGGGCUACACACGUGCUACAAUGGUAUCUACAACAGGAAGCAAGACGGCGACGUCAAGCAAAUCCUUAAAAGAUACCUCAGUUCGGAUUGCACUCUGCAACUCGAGUGCAUGAAGCUGGAAUUACUAGUAAUCGUGGAUCAGCGUGCCACGGUGAAUGCGUUCCCGGGUCUUGUACACACCGCCCGUCACACCAUGGGAGUUGGUUCUACCUUAAGGCAAGGUUUUAAACCCUUGACCACGGUAUAGUCAGCGACUGGGGUGAAGUCGUAACAAGGUAACC
rnacentral:rRNA from 1 species